AAUAUUCUAAAAAACUUUUCCUGCGCAACGGAGAGCAAAUCGAAUAAUUACGACCGACAGAAAGAAGAUCGGCGUGCGACGCAGUCAGCUGCGUCACGAGGGAUUCGACUUUGCAGGACUGUACAAAAAAGACACCGGAGUAAAAUAGACGGCGUCAAAGGUCAGCAGUCGGAAUCUGUCGGUAAGACCCCGUGUGGAUUAGGAGAAAUAAAUGUGCCGGAAAAGA